rnacentral:rRNA from 1 species
UACGGAGGGUGCAAGCGUUAUCCGGAUUUACUGGGUUUAAAGGGUGUGUAGGCGGACUUUUUAAGUCAGGGGUGAAAUCCCGAGGCUCAACUCGGAACUGCCUUUGAUACUAUUGGUCUUGAAUGUUGUUGAGGUGGGCGGAACGGGUCAUGUAGCGGUGAAAUGCAUAGAUAUGACAUAGAACACCAAUUGCGAAGGCAGCUCACUACGGAUUGAUUGACACUGAGGCACGAAAGCGUGGGGAUCAAACAGG